GAUUCGACCCGAACACAGCAUCGGCGAUGGUGAUGGUGCCAGGGUUUUGGCUGCUGAGAGCACCGAUGGCGAAGGUGUUGGUGUGCCCAGGGUUGAACUGGAAGUGGAUGAGGCCUUGGGGGAACACAAACACAUCACCCUUCUUCAGCAUCUUGGUGAAGAGACGGUUGCCGUCGUCGCUGUUGGAUGUGACGAAGCCGACCAAGAGCUGUCCCUCUAUGACGGUGAGGAUCUCGGUGGCACGGGGGUGAGUGUGGGGCGGGUUGAGGCCAUUGGGGAUGUAGUCGAUGCGAACCAUGGAGAUGCCGAGGGUGUUGAGCCCUGGAAUCUGGAUCACGUUGGCAGGCGUGACAUUGAACCCGAAAUUGUUCUUUCCUGUAUCGCCGGGCAUGUCGAGGCCAGAAAGAGAGAAGUCGUCGGCUUUCACAACCAUGGGGUCCUUGCAGACGAAUCCAUUCACCCGCACUGCAACAGCAGAAGGAAGAAGCAAACUCGGUCGGUAAACAUGCAUCAGGAGAACAAACGCACCGAAGGAAAUUAAUCUGGAUACUAUGAAUACCUUUAGACAUCAUAUCUGCGACACAGAAGUCUUGAAGUUGGCUAGGAUCGGAAGCCAUUGCAAGAGAGGAAGCCAUGGCGAGGAGAACAAGGAGAAACAUUUCGGCGGCCAUCUGUAAUCUCUUAGAUGGAUGGGAUUACCUGGUGCCGUGAUACAGUGGCCUGGAAGAGACGGGUAUAUAUAGAGAAGCAGGCUCUGAAACAUUCAUGAUCAUUAGGUGAAGGAGAUGAAAAGUAUACCAUGUUAGGUUGCUUUCUUCUUGCAAUAUAUUUUCUAUAGCCGUCACCUCGUACGAGAUCCAUAUGAUGCACAGUAACCAUUAAAUUUGUUGACGUGUCUCAGUAACCUAAUCCAUGACCAUUUUAUAUGUAUAUAUAUAAUGAUGGAGCUUUUAGUUAGAUCAUGCUGUAGUGUAAAAUGGACUCUUACGUUCGACUGCAUAAUCCACCACGUGAGAUUUUUGUGACGACCUUACGCUACCAAACAAGAGGAGAAGUCAGCAAAGAUGUGGCAGCUGAACAGAACAAGCUAAGGACAGGUAGAAAGAACAAGAAGCCAAAGAUGUGAUUACCAAUUUGACCUUGUCGGGUCUUGUGUACUGCUACGGCUGAUACCGUGUAUUAUAAUUAAGGUGUUCUACGUCAUCUCCGACUAUUUUCAUCACACUGAGACGUCGCGUGCAUGUUGCAAAGAAGUAUGUAAAUACGUAAGUUCUUAAGAGAUUAUAAGUUGAUAUAAUGCUGUCCAAGAAUAGUAAGCAUGUUGAUAGUUGCCUCUACGUUAAACGCUUAUGGGAUCCUAAGUUAUUAAGAGAUCAUAAGAGAUUUUAAAAAUACUAAAUCUUCGUAUAUAGGUAUACAAGAAUAUUGUACGAUUUAGAUAAAAUCAAUUAUAUUCGUGAUAAAAAUCAAUGAGGUUAGGUGAGAUAAAAUAUUUUUUUUAAUUAAAUAUCUAAAGUAAAAUUAACAUAUCAACAUUACAUUGUUCACAUAAAAUUUAUAAUCAUAUUAUCUAUAAUACGAAAAAAAAAUUAUGUCAAAAUUUAAAAUCAAAUAAUAAUGGAUCUAAAUAAUAUUACGAUGCAUACCUUUCGUUGUUAUUUAGAAGAAUAAAUAUUAUCUGAUCUACAGGCGUAUCAUCGUCGGAUCUAAAUGAAAUACUUCUAUUUAGCCCUUAAGAUCAUAUCUAUUUAUAAACAAAAACAAAGAGUCUAAGAUAAGAUAUUAGAAGAAUUCCUCCCAUAAGGAUAUCCUUGGAAUCCUACUAUAAUAUGAAUUUUUUUUUUAUUAAUCAAUAAUCAUAAUCAGAAUUCAAUCAUAUCUAUAAUAUAUUUUACCUAAUUAAAUAUGACCACACAAUCUAACACUCAAUCAUAAAUCCACGAAUCAUAAAUCCAUAAAAAACCAGAAUUUUUGAACUCAUUUCAACCGAGUUCCCAAAAAGUUUAUUAAGUAAAUAAGAUAUUAUUAUGAAUACAAAACAUUUUAAAGUUUUAUAGAUGAUAAUUCUUUUCUAGAAGGUUCUGCCAGCGAGGAUGAAUAAAAAAAAAAGAAAAAUAUCGAUAUAAUAUUUGUAAUUUAUAUAAAUAUAAACAUUUUUCGUCCAUCCAACUCAGCGACCUCUCUGGCAAUCAGAAAGAUUUCAAUAACGAUCAAACAAAGGCUAAUCGAUUAUUUCAGUCAUCAGAUUUUGGUGGCAACGACAUGUUACCAAACACCAUAAAGAAGCUCUCAAAGUCCGACCACGAGACAAGACAAAGUUGCCAGUACGAAUCCGUCUCCGUUCUUCGACCUCGUUCCAUACUGUAUAUUACGAUCGAAGUGAACUGUGUCAUCUUCAACUAUUUCACCAUCACACUGUUUAUAUAUUAUUAUGGUCUAUUUGUGAUCACAACAUAAGAGUUCAAAUUCAUAAUUAUAUUUCAUUUUAGUAAAUGAAUAAAUUGGAGUGAUUGAUACCGCCGGUUAUAGGUGGAUGCAAUCGAGCCAUAUACUACUACUGAACUUUGUAGAUCCCAUGUCAUACAAGUCAAGACAAAAGCACUCCUUUCGGGAAUUCUUGGUGAUGACUUGUUGAAGUUAUGAUCGUGUAUACAAUAUCUCAUGUUUCAGUCAUAAUAUUUGCAUAAAUUGACUUAUUACCGGUAUAUUUUAGUAAAGUUGUCUGCAUAGAUAUAUAAAGUUCAUGAACCUGAGGGAGGAUAAACAUAAGGUGGAUAAAGAAGUAUGCAUAUAUAUAUAUAAUAUGAGAUAUUACACUUUUUGAGGAUGCUGCACUCCAUAUAAUCUAUAAUCUUCCAGGUGGGAAAUACUAUCAUAUGAUCUAAAUAUUGAAAUAUGACUCAUGGAUUUCUUUCUUAAAAAUCAAGUUUUAUUUAUUAUAUUUAAUGACGUGUUUAUAUGAAAUUUGCAACAGUACACCAAUCGUAUGUCAAUAGAGAUGACUCGAGAAUUCUGAAACAUGACACACUUCAUACGUACUUUUCAUAACAUAGAAAGGUCUCUUAAUUCCAUUACAAUAGCAAACGCAAACAGGUAGUCCACUGUUUGCUUAUUCACACCAAAACACACGAGCUAAGAGUGCAGCUUAAUUCAUUCCUCCGACUAGUUUUUCUUCGCGAACUGAGCCUGAAGCCAGUCGACAAGCUUCUUGUCCACUUGGAAAGCCUUGGCGAGGAUUUCAUCCGAGAUGGGGGGAUUCGCCCCGAACACAGCAUCGGCGAUUGUGAUGGUGCCGGGGUUUUGGCUACUGAGAGCACCGAUGGCGAAGGUGUUGGUGUACCCAGGGUUGAACUGGAAGUGGAUGAGGCCUUGAGGGAACACAAACACAUCACCCUUCUUCAGCAUCUUGGUGAAGAGGCGGUUGUCGGUGUUGGAUGUGACGAAGCCGACUAAGAGCUGUCCCUCUAUGACGGUGAGGAUCUCGGUGGCACGGGGGUGAGUGUGGGGCGGGUUGAGGCCUUUGGGGAUGUAGUCGAUGCGAACCAUGGAGAUGCCGAGGGUGUUGAGUCCUGGAAUCUGCAUCACGUUGGCAGGCGUGACAUUGAACCCGAACUUGUUUCCGGUAUCGCCAGGCAUGUCGAGGCCAGAAAGAGAGAAGUCGUCGGCUUUCACAACCAUGGGGUCCUUGCAGACGAACCCAUUCACCCGCACUGCAACAGCAGAAGGAAGAAGCAAACUCGGUCGGUAAACAUGCAUCAGGAGAACAAACGCACCGAAGGAAAUUAAUCUGGAUACUAUGAA
rnacentral:lncRNA from 1 species